CCCUCAAGUGUUAAUGUUUAUUGUGUUUUACUCCAUUGCUUAGGAGUAAUUUUAAAUGUUGGUUGUGCCAGCUGCCUGUCGGAAGCUGCAAAUCACGUUAUGUAAUACCACUUGUUUUAUCAACCACAU